rnacentral:rRNA from 1 species
CCUANGGGCGGCUGCAGUAGGGAAUUUUGCGCAAUGGACGAAAGUCUGACGCAGCAACGCCGCGUGAGUGAUGAAGGUCUUCGGAUUGUAAAGCUCUGUUGAGUGGGAAGAAAAGUUCCGGGAAUAACACCUCGGGAUCUGACGGUACCACUUGAGGAAGCCCCGGCUAACUACGUGCCAGCAGCCGCGGUAAUACGUAGGGGGCAAGCGUUGUUCGGAAUCACUGGGCGUAAAGGGAGCGUAGGCGGAAGAAUAAGUUAGGAGUUUAAUGUACGGGCUUAACCCGUAAUCUGCUCCUAAUACUGUUUUUCUUGAGUAUGGGAGAGGGAGAUGGAAUUCCAGGUGUAGCGGUGGAAUGCGUAGAUAUCUGGAAGAACACCAGCUGCGAAGGCGGUCUCCUGGCCCAAUACUGACGCUGAGGCUCGAAAGCUAGGGGAGCAAACAGGAUUAGAUACCCGGNUANUC